AGUUCCGUUCCUGCUCCGCUUGAGGAGAAGCGCGAAGCGCGCGUGGGGACGCUACAGCAAUUACUUUGCUGUCCUUCCUCUCCUUCGAAGAUGACAAGGCCUACCAUCCUUUCUUCCUGCCUUUGGGCCAUCAGGCAGUUGGUUGGGACACGCUCCAACCCCCGGUUCUCCCUGCAAUACAGUGGAUACAAUUUGUCAUGGCUACUCUGAGAUAAGACCACUUUUUUAUCUGAGCUUCUGUGACCUGCUCCUGGGACUUUGCUGGCUCACGGAGACACUUCUCUAUGGAGCUUCAGUAGCAAACAAGGACAUCAUCUGCUAUAACCUACAAGCAGUUGGACAGGAGAGACAGGGUUUUGCCAUGUUUGCCAGGCUGGUCCUGAACUCCUGACCUCAAGUGAUUCACCGCUUGGGCCACCCAAAGUGCUGGGAUUACAGGUGUAAGCCACUGUGCCUGGCCUCCUUAAAUGUAUCUUAAUGGCCUAAUUUUCACCUUUGCACCCAGUUAGUA
rnacentral:sRNA from 1 species